CUCUUGGAGUACCCGGAGCACAACACUUUGUACCUGGCAUCUUCAGUGAUCCCCAGCUCGUGUGCACUGUGUAACCCUCAGACCUGGACUUUGGGGAGACUGCAGUACUACUAGAGAAACCCAUUCAGAAGUCGCAAGGUUACAUGGAAAUAAUGACCAACCACCUAUGGGCAAGGAGCGCAUUCAGUCAGAAGAGUAGCAUGCACAGUGCCAGGAGGGAGAGAGGAG